rnacentral:rRNA from 1 species
CCUACGGGGGGCUGCAGUGGGGGAUAUUGCACAAUGGAGGAAACUCUGAUGCAGCAACGCCGCGUGAGGGAAGAAGGUCUUCGGAUUGUAAACCUCUGUCCUCAGGGACGAUAAUGACGGUACCUGAGGAGGAAGCUCCGGCUAACUACGUGCCAGCAGCCGCGGUAAUACGUAGGGAGCAAGCGUUGUCCGGAUUUACUGGGUGUAAAGGGUGCGUAGGCGGCCCUGCAAGUCAGGUGUGAAAACUAUGGGCUUAACUCAUAGAUUGCACUUGAAACUGUGGGGCUUGAGUGAAGUAGAGGCAGGCGGAAUUCGGGGUGUAGCGGUGUAAUUCGUAGAGAUCGGUAUGAAAACCAUUGUCGAAGGCUGCUUGCUGUGCUUUAAAUGACCCUGAGGCCCGAAAGCGUGGGUAGCAAACAGGAUUACAUACGCUGGAAGGA